AAAAGCUGAGCAAGGUGGUGGGUGCCCUUAGUCCCAGUUACUUGGAAGGUAAAUUACUAUUUACAUAAUUUAUUGUAGCAUAUUCUGCUUCUUUCCCAGAGCUGUGAAAUCUCUGCUAUAUCAGUACUGGCUAAAUUAGGUAUUAAAUGAUUGAGCUUCAAAUGGGCACAUCAAGACUGCGGACUACAUUCCUCCUUGCCUGGCGGCUGGGAAGUUUCUUAAGGCCUGUGUGUUUCUAUCAGACUGGUCUUGAAGGCGGUGGCUCUCCGGAUCUCCACAGAGCGUCAACGUUGGCUUAAAAAAAACGCCAAAGCUAGAUUGUCCAAAAGGUCUGCGCAGCUGCCAAGACUUCAGAUUAAAGGUGCUCCGGGGACUCCGAUCUCCUGGGCACCCUCGGCCGGGACAAUUUUGAUUAAGCGCUACCUCCUGGCGGCAGCUCUACUGCCCGACGCCUUCCCAGCCUAGUGGGGCCCAUUUUUUUUUUGGUUUGGAAUCUGGAAGCUGAUGCAACAGCUCCCCCAAGGGGGCGGGGCGGGGAGUAGGGAACUCAGGGUGGAAGAGACGGCCUUCCGGGAGAGCCCUCCUCUGGUUCCAAGCAGGCACCUCCCCUCGCCCGAUCCUCACCGCCGAAGGGACUUCCCGGUCUGGGCACCCUACCCAGAUUCAGCCAAGCAUCUUGGGGCCAGAGGCAGCUGUGGCCAGGGGUUGGGGCUCUCGCCCAGGCCCUUGUCGGGCCGCCAGCAUAAGCCGGGAUUGGGAGGGAGGGAAACGGAAGCUUAGCGUUCUUGGGGUGGGGUGGAGGACCAGUCUCUAAAGGUAUCCGCGGUCAUUUUCAUAUCCCCGCAGCAAUCCAGCUCUACAGGAGCGACCGGCGGGCAGGGGAGCGGAUUCAAGGCCUCGGUGCUUGGACCUUUGCUCCCUUCACCUACACCCACCACAACCCCCUCUUCUAGCGCUUCCUAGAGUCGGGGGAAGGACGGGGGCAGCUUGGCCAGGUGGAGGAAGCGGAAGGGACCCCUGGUGGGGUGAGGUCCUGGUACCCCAAGGCAGAGUUCGGGUGGGUCCCCACAGCCAGACCUGGGCCUCGGCGGCGACCCUGUUCUUCAGAGGGUUAUUGAAGGCGGACGGUAGCUGGGUCUGGGCUUGGGAGGGCGUUGUCGUAGGGUUGCAGACUGGGGGCCGAGAAGGAGGGAAAUAAAAGGGAAAAGGCAGGGGCCCCGAGAAAGCAAGGGUGAAUUGGGGGGUGGGGAUGGGAGAAAGGGGCAAAGGUGAGACCUGCAGGUUGCGCGGGGGCGGAGAGGGGGAUGGGAACGACUCUGGGAUCGGCCAGUGAGGAUCAUGGGUUAGGGGAGAGCUUUUCGGGGGAAGGGCCAAUGGCGUGCGUGUGGUGUGGAGUUGAGUUUAUGCUUCGAAGUUCGGCUGUUGAGCCCACUUGGAUAUACCUGAACCUGAGUGUUCGCCUCCCUCUGCCUUUUCCUUUUCUGACCUUCACCCUUUCGCGAUCAUAGCACUUCGCUCUCGCCUUCUCCACGCCGCGCCCAGACCUGUCACCUGAGCCUGGGUGUAAGGCAGAGCAGACAAGAAUUUCCCGGAUCCAGGGCAAGAGUGUUAGAUUAUAGGCUUUUUGUUUUACUUUGCUUUUCCCAUUAAUGAAACAAAAGCCCGUUUCAAAUCAUUCUAGGCCUCCCAGUAAAACUAUGAAAACCAUGCUUUCCUCUUUCCCUUUAAUGCAUUACUAUCAAAAAGAUUACCUUCCAGUACUCCUUGCUUGAGAACCAGAGCCGCAGCCACACAGGAGGGCCUGGAGAGCAAAUUCAAGGACAUGCCUAGGAGCCCAGCCAGCUGGGAAAUCAAAUAAAUAACAGUUCAUUCAUCCAUUUAUUAACCCAGCAAACAUUUAUUAACUGUCUACCUGAGCCCUGCACUGUGGGGAUACAGAGGUGAACAAAGCUCUUGUGAUGCUUAUAUUCUAGUGGGGGUGGUGACAGCAAACAAAUGACGCCGGGAAUGGACAACAUCACUGGGAAGUAUUUUCCAGGCAGGGAGAACAGGAAUUGCAAAAGCUUUGAGGCCAGAUCAUGCUUGCUAUGUGGCCACAGCAGGGAAGCCAGUGAAGCUGGAGUGGAGUGAGGAAGACAGCAGGGGGGCCCAUGUGGAUGAGGACAGCUUCUCUCCUCCUAGGACUUUCCUCACAACUUGGACCUGACCCCAGAGUGCAAUUAGGGGCAGGAAAGUUGGGUAGCAGGCUGAGAGUGUCUAAAGGACUCUACAUUAUCCUUUAUUUAUUUAUUUAUUUUUACGGUGCGCUACAUGUUCAGAGAAACUUCUCUAGUAACAAACUAUAGAAAUGAUCCCUGAAAGUAUAGUCUUUUUUUUUUUUAAUUUAUUUUUUUUAAA